rnacentral:rRNA from 1 species
ACUACGGGGGCUGCAGUGGGGAAUAUUGGACAAUGGGCGAAAGCCUGAUCCAGCCAUGCCGCGUGUGUGAAGAAGGCCUUCGGGUUGUAAAGCACUUUCAGUGGGGAAGAAAGCCUUGGGGCUAAUACCCUCGAGGAAGGACAUCACCCACAGAAGAAGCACCGGCUAACUCCGUGCCAGCAGCCGCGGUAAUACGGAGGGUGCGAGCGUUAAUCGGAAUUACUGGGCGUAAAGCGCGCGUAGGCGGUCUGAUAAGCCGGUUGUGAAAGCCCCGGGCUCAACCUGGGAACGGCAUCCGGAACUGUCAGGUUAGAGUGCAGGAGAGGAAGGUAGAAUUCCCGGUGUAGCGGUGAAAUGCGUAGAGAUCGGGAGGAAUACCAGUGGCGAAGGCGGCCUUCUGGACUGACACUGACGCUGAGGUGCGAAAGCAUGGGUAGCAAACAGGAUUAGAUACCCCAGUAGUC